rnacentral:rRNA from 1 species
UACAGAGGGUGCGAGCGUUAAUCGGAAUUACUGGGCGUAAAGCGUGCGCAGGCGGCGGCUCAAGUCAGGUGUGAAAUCCCCGGGCUUAACCUGGGAAUUGCGCUUGAAACUAGGUCGCUAGAGUGUGGCAGAGGGGGGUGGAAUUCCGCGUGUAGCAGUGAAAUGCGUAGAUAUGCGGAGGAACACCGAUGGCGAAGGCAAUCCCCUGGGCUUGCACUGACGUCAUGCACGAAAGCGUGGGGAGCAAACAGG